AGGCACCUAAAGGACUCUCAGACCAUGAGAAACAAGAUUCUCUGGUUUGAUGAAACCAAUAUUGAACUCUUUGGCCUGAAUGCCAAGCUUCAUGUCUGGAGGGAACCUAGCACCAUCCCUACGGUGAAGCAUUGUGGUGGCAGCAUCAUGUUGUGGGGAUGUUUUUCAGCGGCAGGGACUAGUCAGGAUCGAGGGAAAGAUGAACAGAGCAAAGUACAGAAAGAUCCUUGAGAAAAACCUGCUCCAGAGCGCUCAGGACCUCAGACUGGGCUGAAGGUUCACCUUCCAACAGGACAACGACCUGAAGCACACAGCCAAAACAACGCAGGAGUGGCUUCGGGACAGGUCUCUGAAUGUCAUUGAGUGGCCCAGCCAGAGAACGGACUUGAAUCCGAUCGAACGCUCCCCUUCCAACCUGACAGAGCUUGAGGAUCUGCAGGGAAGAAUGUGAGAAACUACCCAAAUACAGUCAUUUUCAGCUCUUCAGGUCCUACUCACUGGAUGAGCAGAUCAAAGAACUGAUAGGACAGAAUUAAGAACUUGGUUCUUAGUCUGUGAGGGCACGCUUAAGAGGAGAGGGUCAGACAGUCUGAUCCUUGUCAACCCCCAGGGAGCUUCGAGGAGAGCCAUGCAGUAGCGGCUACACCGGACGCAGUUGCAUGGCACAAAUUCUUUGUGGCACAUCGAUGGCAACCAUAAGCUGAUCCGGACCUGAGCCCUAAAACCAUGCCUCAGGACUACCUGGCAUGAUGACUCCUUGCUGUCCCCAGUCCACCUGGCCGUGCUGCUGCUCCAGUUUCAACUGUUCUGCCUGCGGCGAUGGAACCCUGACCUGUUCACCGGACGUGCUACCUGUCCCAGACCUGCUGUUUUCAACUCUCUAGAGACAGCAGGAGCGGUAGAGAUACUCUCAAAGAUCGGCUAUGAACAAGCCAACUUACUCUUGAGUUGCUGACUUGUUGCACCCUCAACAACUACUGUGAUUAUUAUUAUUUGACCAUGCUGGUCAUUUAUGAACAUUUGAACAUCUUGGCCAUGUUCUGUUAUAAUCAGCACCCCGGCACAGCCAGAAGAGGACUGGCCACCCCUCAUAGCCUAGUUCCUCUCUAGGUUUCUUCCUAGGUUUUGGCCUUUCUAGGGAGUUUUUCCUAGCCACCUACUUCUACACCUGCAUUGCUUGCUGUUUGGUGUUUUAGGCUGGGUUUCUGUACAGCACUUUGAGAUAUCAGCUGAUGUAAGAAGGGCUAUAUAAAUAAAUUUGAUUUGAACUGGCCCCAGUUGAAAUGGUCUAGAACCGCCACUGCUCAUUCCUACUCCAACCUGACUUACUACACCCCUGAUAUUCCCCUACAGGGACAAGGGAUCGGACACUAUAUCGUAAGUGCCACUCGUUCCUACUCCAACCUGACUUACUACACCCCUGAAACUCCCCUACUGGGACGAGGGAUUGGACGCUAUAUCUUCAGCGCCACCCGUUCCUUCGAGUCAGUUAAUUUUUAUAAUACUAUUUGAAAUGGUAACGACUCAUAUUUUUUUCAGUCCUUGAAUCAGUUAAUUUUUAUAACACCAAUAAUAACACCACCAAUUAGGAUGCCACCAUUAGUGAACUCUUCUUCAACCAGAGCUUUGGAAAACCCUCUCCUCCUUGCACAGAAACUGUUCCCGAGGAAACACUCCCCCGCAUUCACACACUGUAUGAUUUGGUCUCUAGAAAGGUACUACAGACAUGUUCAACCCUUAACAAAGAGUGUUAAGGUGUAUGGCCCCUCGGUGGGUUCAAUACAGUACCAGUCAAAAGUUUGUACACACCUGUACAUUAGACCGGUGGAAAUCUGUCCAAAUUUGAGAUUUUUGGUUCCAACUGCUGUGUCUUUGUUAGACGCAGAGUAGGUGAACGGAAGAUCUCUGCAUGUGUGGUUCCCACCGUGAAGCAUGGAGGAGGAGGUGUGGGGGUGCUUUGCUGGUGACACUCAGUGAUUUAUUUAGAAUUCAAGCAAAACUUAACCAGAAUGGCUACCGCAGCAUUCUGCAGCGAUACUCCAUCCCAUCUGGUUUGUGCUUAGCGAGACUCUAAUUAGUUUUUCAACAGGACAAUGACCCAACACACCUCCAGGCUGUGUAAGGGCCAUUUGAGUGCUGCAUCAGAUGACCUGGCCUACACAAUCACCUAACCUGGUUUGGAAUGAGUUGGACUGCAGAGUGAAGGAAAAGCCGCCCACAAGUGUGUUGAGGUUGGGGGGUUGUGGAGGCCAGGUCAUCUGAUGCAGCGCUCCAUCACUCUCCUUCUUGGCCAAAUAGCCAAAUAAUUAGGUAUGUUGGGUCAUUGUCCUGUUGAAAAACAAAUUAGAGUCCCACUAAGACUUUUUGAAGGUUAUUUUACUGAUUUAAUGAUCAUGGACUGUUUCCCUGUGUAUAUUAGGAUACAUUUUAUUACAUUUAAAUAAUGUUUCAGUAUCUUUAGUGUCACGUCCUGACCAUAGUAAGUUGUUAUUUUCUAUGGUAGAGUGGUCAGGGCGUGACAGGGGGUGUUUAUCUGUUUUUGUAUGUCUAUGUUCAGUUCUAGAUUUUGUAUUUCUAUGUUGGUCGUUGUUUGGCAUGACCUCCAAUUAGAGGCAGCUGGUUGUUGUUGUCUCUAAUUGGAGGCCAUAUUUAAGUUGAUGUUUGUCCCACCUGUCCUUGUGCGUGAUUAUAUAUUUUGAGUAGUGUGUUUUUUUCCUCUCUGCGUCACGGUUUGUUGUUUUUUUGUUAGUUAAAGUAUUUAUGUAUUGUUUCACGGUUAUAAUAAAUAUGUGGAACGAAAACGCUGCAUCUUGGUCCGCUCCUUAUCACAGCUGUGACAUUUAGAGUAUCCUGUGAGGCAGAUCAAAGUGCUCUAUAGUCAGGAGGAGAGCAGCUUCUUGAAGAUUUUGGGGGAAACAUUCCCCCAGAUGAAUCCAAAUGUAGAGGCCUUUAAGACAAGACAGGAGGAGGCUUGUUCCAGCUGCAAUCAAAUCAGCUGGGCUAGGGAGGUCUGCCCUGUACUUAAGAUUGAAGGAAACAAAGGGAGGAGACAACCUCGGAGGCAGAGACUCUGCCUAUGGCGUUAGGCCUCCCUGUUGACUCUCGACAAGCUUCAGUGACACUAGAGUCUCUAGAGGAAACAUUGGAGAUACGGCGUCUUAGUCUUCAAGACCAUCUCUCUCUGGCUGCAGAACAGGAGAAAGAGAUGGAACGUUGUCGUUUUGAGAAGUGGGAGAGCAGGCGGGGGAAGAAAUCCUGCUGCUUCUUGCUGCUACUGCUACUAUGCGCUGGCUUCUUGCGCCCACCACCACCCCAGCCUCC
rnacentral:lncRNA from 1 species